AACGAACGCUGGCGGCAUGCCUAACACAUGCGAGUCGAACGAGACCUUCGGGUCUAGUGGCGCACGGGUGCGUAACGCGUGGGAACCUGCCCUUAGGUUCGGAAUAACUCCCCGAAAGGGGUGCUAAUACCGGAUAAUGUCUUCGGACCAAAGAUUUAUCGCCUUUGGAUGGGCCCGCGUUGGAUUAGCUAGUUGGUAGGGUAAAAGCCUACCAAGGCGACGAUCCAUAGCUGGUCUGAGAGGAUGAUCAGCCACACUGGGACUGAGACACGGCCCAGACUCCUACGGGAGGCAGCAGUGGGGAAUAUUGGACAAUGGGCGAAAGCCUGAUCCAGCAAUGCCGCGUGAGUGAUGAAGGCCUUAGGGUUGUAAAGCUCUUUUACCCGGGAUGAUAAUGACAGUACCGGGAGAAUAAGUUCCGGCUAACUCCGUG
rnacentral:rRNA from 1 species